UGAAAACAGAAAACUAGUCUUGCAUCACCAUCUGGAAGACAAGAGUUUGAGGAGAAACAGAAAGCAACUUUUAACCCCUGAGAGGCUGCACUUAGUCACUGAGAGAACAUCCUGUUGCCUCCUUGCUUCUGAACAGGACUGCUGGCUGGAGGGCUUGCACUGUCCCUUGGGCCCAGGAGGAAACAGAGGCCCAGAGUAGGAUGGUAUCACUGGGAGGGUUCAUCACCAUUCUUUCCACAAAUGAAGCUGGAUUCCUGUAUGUCAUCUCAUCCUUGCAGCUCUCCUGGGAACUGGAAGGCACUGAGGAACCUUUGGAAGUAGAGGAUAGUGGCUAUCUAUGUAAGAAUCCAUUCAUUCAUUCUUGGAGCAAGUAUUUAAUGAACACCUGUUUUGUGCCAGGCCCCAUGCGAGUCAAUGAAAUCAAUUGGUAGGUAAUCACUUAAAAAUAAAAAAACAAAAAGAGUGA